rnacentral:rRNA from 1 species
UACGAAGGGGGCUAGCGUUGCUCGGAAUCACUGGGCGUAAAGCGCACGUAGGCGGCUUUUUAAGUCAGGGGUGAAAUCCUGGAGCUCAACUCCAGAACUGCCUUUGAUACUGAGAAGCUUGAGUCCGGGAGAGGUGAGUGGAACUGCGAGUGUAGAGGUGAAAUUCGUAGAUAUUAGGAAGAACACCGGUGGCGAAGGCGGCCCACUGGUCCGGUACUGACGCUGAGGUGCGAAAGCGUGGGGAGCAAACAGG